rnacentral:ncRNA from 1 species
AAACUGAAGAGUUUGAUCAUGGCUCAGAUUGAACGCUGGCGGCAGGCUUAACACAUGCAAGUCGAGCGGUAACAGAGAUAGCUUGCUAUCUGCUGACGAGCGGCGGACGGGUGAGUAACGCGUAGGAAACUACCCGGUAGUGGGGGACAACCGUUGGAAACGACGGCUAAUACCGCAUACGCUCUACGGAGGAAAGGGGGCUUCGGCUCUCGCUAUCGGAUGUGCCUGCGUGAGAUUAGCUAGUUGGUGGGGUAAAAGCCUACCAAGGCGACGAUCUCUAGCUGGUCUGAGAGGAUGAUCAGCCACACUGGGACUGAGACACGGCCCAGACUCCUACGGGAGGCAGCAGUGGGGAAUAUUGGACAAUGGGCGCAAGCCUGAUCCAGCCAUGCCGCGUGUGUGAAGAAGGCUUUCGGGUUGUAAAGCACUUUCAUCAGUGAGGAAAGGGUAGUAGUUAAUACCUGCUAU